UUAAUGAACUCACCAAAAUAGAUCUUGCCAUUCCGCUUUUGUUACCCCUUUUUGUUUCAAUAUUUUGAUAACUAUUGGUUUCAUUCCCGGCCAUUUUCCAUCAAAUUGUUCCUUGGCUUGAUCCUUCUUAUUCAAUAGCAAAGGAGAAUUCAUUUUUAAGAAAGUUUUAAUGGAAAAAUAAACAAAAAUUAUCAAAUCAUUUUAUAAAAAACAUUAUUAUUAUAUUGACAAC